GUGGCUGUGGCUCAGUGGUAGAGCACUUGCUUAGCAUGUAUGAGGCACUGGGUUCGAUUCUCAGCACCACA
rnacentral:tRNA from 1 species